AAACCAUGAUGUGGGCAUGCUCGUAACAACUUUUUAUAUCUCUCCCAAGCUUCGAACAGCGAUUCUCCUUGGUUUUGGGUAAAUCUAGUUAUAUAGUUUCGAAGAAC